AAGCCACAGUGAUUGUAUUCUACCAGCUUCAGAGACGGGAGGGAAAGCAAGCCUGGCAGAGAUGCCCACUCCACUUCCAGUGUACUGAGUGGCUGGCUACUGGAAGACGCUCUGCGCCUGUG
rnacentral:snoRNA from 1 species